CCUACGGGAGGCUGCAGUAGGGAAUUUUCGUCAAUGGGCGCAAGCCUGAACGAGCAAUGCCGCGUGAACGAGGAAGGUCUUCGGAUCGUAAAGUUCUGUUGUAGGGGAAAAAGAGCGGAGAGAGGAAAUGAACUCCGAUUGAUAAUACCCUUCGAGGAAGUCACGGCUGACGACGUGCCAGCAGCCGCGGUAAUACGGAGGUGGCGAGCGUUAUCCGGAUUGAUUGGGCGUAAAGGGGGCGUAGCGGGCCUGCUAAGGCAGGAGGGAAAGGUACCGGCUCAACCGGUAUAGGCUCUGGAAACUGGCGGGCUAGAGAGCAGGAGAGGGCGGUGGAACUCCAUGUGUAGCGGUAAAAUCCGUAGAUAUAUGGAAGAACACCAGUGGCGAAGGCGGCCGCCUGGCCUGUUACUGACGCUGAGGCACGAAAGCGUGGGGAGCAAAUAGGAUUAGAUACCCGAGUAGUC
rnacentral:rRNA from 1 species